GGUUCCACGUGAAAGUGCUGCCCCAAUUUCUCAUGCCACAUUCUCGUGUGAUAGCCAGCUGAUAUAUGCCAGUUUCUUGGAUGCAACUGUGUGCGUAUUCACUGCAGGGCACCUCCAUAUGCGAUGCCGUAUUAUUCCUUCAGCUUAUCUAUCACCCAGUAUUAGGUAUUUUUUGCUGCCUGCUAAGUUAUUUACUGCUUUAAUUUGAAGAUAUUCUGCAGUUCACUAUUUAAGACAAAAAACAUCGGUUUUCUUAUAGUUAUAGUUCCAUGCGCUAGAAUAGUGAAAUCGGUAUCAGAACAAUAUCGAGGCCGAAGUGCGACUCAUCACCAAAAGGGGGAAAAACCCAUAAGUUGGCCAUUCAUACAAAGAUAUCAUCGACCAAUGCAUGGGCUAUGUAGGAUGUAACGUACAUUUUAUGCAUACUAGAGGACUACAAUAUUCACUAUCCUAGAUCAUCUUUCUUUUUAAAAAGAAUUGAGAUGAGUAUUUCAAAAUAAUUUAUUUUGCAAUCACGUAUUUGUAAAAUCAUGUUAUUACAAUAAAAUGGGGUAUCUGAUUGCCAGGAUUGGCAUUUCUAGUAUCACUGGAGUAUCCCUCUGAAUACUAUGUUUCAGAUGUUUAAUUUUUGCAACUUCUCUGCAUUCCCGUGUCCAUACAUUAAGGGGUCGUUUGGUAGAGUGAAUUAGAAAAAAUAAUGCUUGUAUUAGCCUUGUGUAUUACUAGUACCUUGUUUGGUACUCUUUUUCAACUUAUGUAUAACUAAGCAUUAGUUAUACACUCUAUUGUGUAUUAAGGUGUGCAUUGCUAAUACCAUAGAUUUCUAGGCAUUAGCAAUGCAAUGGUUUUAAUGCAUGCAUUAACAUGACAAAAGACUCAAUUACCCCUCAAAAACCUUUUUUACAUCUUUUCCACCAUAAAAGUGAAGGGUAUCUUUGUAAAUAAAUUUUUUAAUGCAAUACAUAUUAUUUUUAAUGCAUCAAACCAAACAAUGCAUUAAAAUAAUCUAUGUAUAAUUAAUGCAAGUAUAACUAAAACAUAGCAAGUAAUACUAAUACACUAUAUUUAGUAUUAUCCUUCUACACUCAACCAAACGACCCCCAAGUAAUUUAUGUGUCUGAUAUUCUCAGGAAGUCAUGUGAGGAUACAUAGUCAAUUAACCAAACAGAUUUCAUUUCUGAUAUUUGAAGUAAUUUUUCAUAAAACCUUGUCAUUUUUCUGCAGCAAUUCAAAUAUUCACCCAGUUGUAGUUGCAGCACAUCCACAAGAUCCAAACCAGUUUGCAUUAGGUCUGUCAGAUGGCAGUGUUCAUGUUUUUGAACCACUUGAAUCUGAAGGCAAAUGGGGAGUCCCUCCACCACUUGAAAAUGGAUCAGCAAAUGGUAUGCCCACCGCUCCAUCUAUUGGAGCUUCAGGCUCCGAUCAAGCACCAAGAUGACAAAGAAGCCUCUAAGCAAACAGUCUUGUGUCUUGUUUUGUUGAAUCUUGCCCAAAUUUCAGUUCAGACGGACGAGCAAAUGUUCGUUCUAGGAGACUAACCAGAAUCCUCCAAGUCAAAAGAUGAAGUGUAUGUAACACCCCAAAGAUUUGUUUUUCUUUGCAAUCGAAAGGGAAGGUGAAAUCUUCAGUGGAGCUAGGAGUCUCAGUGUAAUAGUCACAGCUUAAGAUUUGACUUGUUUUUUACACCAAUGUUGUGGCUUUCGUUUGUGGUAAUCUAUUAGCUACAGGACAUAAUUUAGCUCAGUACUCUCCAACAUGUAAAUUUCCAACUCGUGAGGUAAGAUGUAAUGUAAAAUGAACACUUUACUCUUUAUAUUCCUUAGUGUAGUGAGGAAUUCCUCCUAUCAGCUUUUUAUUUCGUAUGAUUCUUGAAUUGGAUUUUGGCAAGUCUCACCUCUUUAAGGGUCAACUUAUUAUGAACAACAAUCUGUGUUGUUUCUUUAAUAUCCAGUGACUGUCAUAACUGCUUCAAUCAUUUUCCUCUGAAAAUGGUGCUAAUUCAAUAUCCUCUGAUUUGGCUCAUAGAAGAAUUUCAUGAGAAAAGACGACACUCAUGUCAAAUCUGAGCUCUGAGCGGAUAACCAUAUUAAUUAUCAAUUCUGCCACCCCGAUAAGUAACAAUAAAAAUAAAUGUGAUAUUUAGACUAACAAUACAAAUGAAUAACUGUAGUAUAGUUUAGUUGAUUAUGGAUGAGAAUUUGAUUCCUCACAUUGCUCCUUCGUUUUCCCUUCCCCAAAUGUUUUUUUUAACCUUAGCCUACCCCCCACCAGAAGCAGUAGCAUGAUGGCGCAACACCAAAUUCAGAAUUCAGAAGUAGUUGCUGUUUCUUACAAAUUCAUGACAUUCUUCAUCCACAUUUUCCCUCAUAUUCGCAAUACCAGAGAAGCUUCAUCUAUCAUCUAUGGCAUGGCAGACCAAGAUACACGCAAGAAUGACAUCUACACAAACUUCAACAGACAAAUUAUUUACGUACAAUUCAAAAAAUAACAUAUUUAGGGUUUUGAAAACAUCCGGGUGUUGUGCAAUUUGAUACAACUAAAAAUCGAUUUUUGGCAGCUGAUGACGAUUUCUCAAUUAAAUUAUGGGAUAUGGACCAUGUUCAACUCCUGACAAGUAUUGAUGCUGAUGGAGGCCUUCCAGUAAGUUUAUGUUGAGGUUCACUGAGAAAAUUGUGGUAUUGUAUACUAUAUUCUAACUGCUUUUUUCUUUUAUAUCAAUAAAUUAUUCAAGGCAAACCCUCUAAUUCGAUUCACCAAGGAUGGUUCUCUAUUGGCUGUUUCUGCUAAUGAAAAUGGGAUAAAGAUUUUGGCAGAUAAUGACGGUAUUUGCUUCCGGGGCAUCUGAAACUGCAAAGGUACUUGUUACUCAGUUAAUAUAAAUCUUGAGGUUCCAUUUUUUCUUUACACAAACAUGACCAGGUGUCCUUUGCUUUAAUAUCAUGCAGCCUACAGUAAAUCCAAUAUCCAUAGCAUCAGCAAAUAAUUCUGGAUUUGCAGAUAGGGUGGCCUCUGUUGUUGGCAUCAGUGGAAUGGUUUGUAAAUUUAACUCCCAUAAUGUGAUUUGGAAUAACUUCUUGUUUGUUGUCAUCAGGGCGCAUGUUCAUGGAGAAAAUAUAUAUAAGCAUACAAACUCACAUUAUAAUUGUAGUUGUAUAUAGUCAAUUUUUUUUCACCUUUUAUCUUUUAAUUAAUUAAUACUGGUAUAACCUUUUCUCACUUGUUUAAAUCUCAUUUUUUGUUUACCAUUAUGUGUUGUUUUAUUCGUAUCGUUUAUAUUUAUAAAAUUCAAUGCAACAAAAUCUUUUUAUAAUUUCAUGCGUAUCAAGCAGUUGUUGAAUAAAAGUAUAGUAGAAACUGUACUUAAAUUAAACUAACAUAUAUCUUCCUUAUAAUGCUAAAUACAAUAUCUGUAGCAUCAGCAAACAAUUCUGCAGAUAGGGUGGACUGGCCUCUGUGUUGGCAUCAGUGGAAUGGUUUGCAAAUUUAACCCCCUAAAUGUGAUUUGGAAAUAAGUUCUUGUUUGUUGUUAUCAGGUCACAGGUCCAUGGAAAAAAUAUAUAUGAAACAUACUUCACUUUUUCCAUAAACUAGUUUUUGGACACGUGCAUUGCAAGUGUUUCUCAUGGUAAUUACUAAGUAAUUAACAAAUCACGUUAUAAUUUGUAGUUGUAUAUAGUCAAACUUUUUCACCUUUUGUCUCAAGAACCAGAUUAAUAUGUGCAUUUAAUAGUUGUUCUAUGUUCACUGUUUCAAAACCAAUGCCUUUGAUUUGAUUUAUAUGAAAUAGCAAGGUUGCAUAUUAGAAACAACCAUCGUUGAAAUAGCAAGGUUGCACCACUGGAAAGGUUUUCAUUACUUUUAUAAAAGUAUAUAUAAUUAAGAGAAAAAAAAUAAUAGCGAGUGCUUCUUAAUUUACUAACACUUAAAUAAAGAACAAUAUACAAUUUGAUGAAUGUCCAUAUGUUCUUACCUGAUGUGGGGUGCCCGUUUGAAGAUCCGGCUAAUUCAGAUUUGCUCAUGAAAGUUUCACUUUGAUAGUAAUCAUUGACAGUUCUCUAUUCCCAAAGUUCAAAUCCAGAAUUUUGUUAAGGGUGGAGGGGUACCUGCCGGCCCACCACAACAUUUGAUGGUAAUACUAACAGGAAUUAACACAGAAGAAAAUGAAAACAACAGCUUUAAUGGCAUUCCUUUGUUGUUUAUUCUGGAAAAUUCUUAUAUUACAAGCUACUUCUCUUUCCUCCAUUGUUUAAAUACCGAUUGUGAGAUAAGACAAAUUUAGAUGAAAGUAAACUUUUCAAAGGUAAUGCUUAUAUAUAAAAAUCUUUCUAUUUUAAAGAGAAGAAAUUAUUUUUCAUGUUAUUCUGCACAUUUCUUAGAUUAAUCUCACCAAAUAUUUAUUCCUUGUAGGCUGUAGUGAUAUUAGGGCUGUUGGAAAGCAAGGUAUGGGUGGAGUAUUUAUCUUCCACUUUUUCCUGUCUAUAUUUUUCCAAAUGAUAAAAAUGAAAGAGAUGGAAGCUUAUGUUUUUGCUUUUGCUGAAGAAGCUAGGGAGAGGGGACAAUAAUGGUAAAUUUGUAGGGAUAAGUCACGUGCAUGGCAUAUUUUCUGUUUGAAGCUGUUAGUUUUUGACAGAAAACUAAGAGAGGGAUGUAACUUGUAACUUCUAGGAUAGUUCAAGGAUGUUAUUUGUUCAUUGUUAUAAUAUGAGGAUGUAGUUUAAGUUUGGAUUAUAAUUGAGAGAUGUUUUUGGCCAUUUACUCUAAGUUGGUAUGUAAUGACUUCCUUGAACGGAUGAAACCAUUCCUUUUUUGUAUUCAUUACAAUUUCAGUUUUGGAGGUAAAAAAAGGCAUGUAAGAUUAAUGGUAUAAUAAUAACUUAUAUAAGCACUUAUUACAUUUUUUUGACGAAGUAAAUCAAAAGUUUAAAUUGUACUUCUCUGUGUGAUUCUUACAAUGUAUAUUUACAUAUUUACAAAACAAGGUAAUUGUAAUAAUGCUUGCACGAAGGGAAACUGUUGUUCAACUUUUGAUGGCUAUUUUGGUCUUUUUCCUUUUACCUUUUAAGGGAAUCAUUCCUCCUGUCAUUGACGCCUCGCCGUUCUUCAACAACUUUAGGGUUCCAAAUUGAACUUCAAAUCUGUUGAAUUAACUCCAAACAAUGGCGUCGCAUGUAAGUUCUUCUUUCCUUUUCAAUUUUAAGAUUUUCUUGUCUAAUAGUAAUCACUGUAUUUCAUUUGCAUAUCUGUAAUCAUAGAUUUUCUUUGUUAUUCAGUGUUUGUAACUAUAUGUUGUUCAAUUUGCCUCUGUAUCUCUUUUGCUCUCUUAUUUCCUUAUAUCGUGCUUUGAAUUCAAUUUUGCUUUUGAGCCGAUGGUCUAUCGAAAACCUCUCUACCCUCCCCAUACCCCACUUUGUGGGAUUGCACUGCAUAUGUUGUUGUUGUUGUAACUUUUAGGUUUGAGGCUUCCUACUUAUAGAAUAAGAUAGAUAUAUAAGAUGGAUAGAUAGAUACUCAUUAGGUUUUAAAAUGGAGGACACACCAAGAAGUCUUGUCUUGUCUGCUUUCAUGUCAAUAUCAUUUACUAACAUGUAUUUUACAUUCUACUGGCUUUGAUAGAAUGAAGAUGCAGGAAAUGUAACACCCCAGCUUAAUGUAGAGCCUAAUGACGAAUCUAAGAUGUGGAGGCUCACUGAAAUUAGAGAAUCAUCACAGUACCGGUCCUUGAAGCUUCCUGAAAAUCUUGGAGUGACUAAGGUAUUAUCCCCAUGUCUCUUGAUUCAUGAAAUAUCUUAUUGUGUUUGUUAUAUCAUUUUCAAAACUCGGAAACUUUUCCAUUGAACAUACAGAUAGCGGAUAAUUCAUGUAUAAAAUGAGAUGGAAGACUUUUUCAGUGAACAUGUUAAGGUUGGAAAUUUUAGUGUUUCUCACGAUGCCUUUGUGCACGAUCUGAUAUGAUCAAGGCACGUGACAUCAAAACAUGCCAUCAUCAAAUAAAAUUGUUAGUGUUAAGCUGAGUGGAAAUGAACCAUAUGAUCCAACAGUGUUGUGCUUCUCUUUUCAUAUGAAUGUGAGUUCUCCUGUUUGGGAGGGAAGGGUUCUUAGUUUCGCGUCCAUCUCUUUUCUCUAUCUUGGUCACCGGAUGUGAUUCUAUUGAUGUGAAAUUAAAAUUCCAAAGAAGGUGAACUUUCAGAAUGUCAUGGGAAGCUUAAGGCCUCCUAAAUGAGGUCUAGCACCUAUACAUUUUGUGUUUUAGUCUCUUUUCUUUUCCGUAAUAGAUUUUUCAACUUACAGUAAAGAGGAGUGGAUGUUCAAGUAUCACUUUCUGCACCUUCAGAGAUCCGUCUGUCGAUUUCCUUCGAGAUUGUCUAAUCAGAGCAGAAGGCCUCUAAAGUUUGUGUGCAAUGAUUUGACAACUUUAAUAGUGUCCAACUUUUGACUAGCAAUAGUAACUAAACGUCUGCAUGGUAUUUCAAGUUCACGUCUUGAGUGCUUUCUACUGAAUUGUAGCCAUGUUCCUUCCCCUUACCCCACAAUCUGGAAGCUGUUGUGUUCCGACUUUCUCUGACUGCACAACAUGGAUGUGAGGGCAUUGUAAUCAGAAUAUCAGAUAUUGAACAGAAAAUUUCACAGUGAAUUCUUACUAGGAAACAAUACUUAGCUGGAGAGUUUGUUUAGUUGUCAAUAUUUGUUCCCUGGUUUCAACUGUAUUAGUUUUGAUGAUACAGUUUCUGGUUAUGAUUCAAUUUGUUUACUCCAGAUAUCAAGCUUAAUAUAUACGAGCUCUGGUAAUGUUAUCUUAGCAUUAGCAUCAAAUGCUAUUCACCUGCUUUGGAAGUGGCAAAAAAAUGAGCGCAAUUCAAAGGGCAAGGUAAAUUGGACACAAAAAUCGUGGCUUUCCUCCAUUUUGUACAGAAGUGAUUCUGAGAAUUGUGUCAAUCUUUGUUUAGGCCACGGCCAGUGUUUCACCACAACUGUGGCAACCUUCAAGUGGCAUCUUAAUGACAAAUGAUGUGCACGAACCAAACCAUGAGGAAGCUGUCUGUUGCUUUGCUUUGUCCAAGAAUGAUGCCUAUGUGAUAUCAACAUCUGGUGGAAGGAUGUCCUUGUUCAACAUGAUGGCAUUCAAGGUAUUACAAGAUUUUCUUUUUAUUUCUACCCUUGACUCAAAGAUCCUGUGCUGAAUUAUUAUCUUAUGGAUGCAGAGAGUGAGAACUUUCAUGCCUCCACCUCCAGCAGCAACUUAUAUUGUUUUCCAUCCUCAAGAUAACAACAUUAUCGCUAUUGGCAUGGGUGAUUCUACCAUCCAGAUAUAUAAUGUCCGACUGGAUGUGGUAUGAUUAAGAUAAACAAGAAGUUUUUGUUGUUAUUGUCAGUCAUCAGAAAAUGUAAUGUUCUUGGCCCAGUUACCAUAUAUUGUUAUUGACUAGAUCUGAGUCUCUUGAUGAAGGUUAAAAUCAAGCUUAAAGGCCACUCUAAAAGGAUAACUGGCCUUGCCUUCUCUCAUGUGCUCAAUGUGCUAGUUUCCUCAGGAGCUGAUUCUCAGGUUAAUGACUUAUAUGCUUGGCUAUCAUGUCGUAUUUGACUUACUUCUCAGUGUUUUGUUAAACUAUUCUCACAAUUAAUGUGGAAAAUACAUGUGUAUAAUAGAUUGCAUUUUCUCUCCUAACGAUUUUGCAUAUUGUGCAUCAUACACUCUCCAUCCCAUUCAAUGUUAAGCCAAUCAAAUAGGCAUGGGAAUUAGAAGUAAUUUCACUGCAUGUCAUAUUUGAUGAUGAUAAAGGUGAAAAUUUUGAAUAAUCAAACAUGAAGUUGUUGUUUUGAAAGUGUUUCAAGCAUUUUGGAAGAAAACAAAAUCUAAACUAUAUAGCCUACAGAUGAGCCAAGUAUAUUGUAGGUUAUCUCCUUUUGCAUAAUCUCCUCUCUGCAGUCAUGAAUCAUGAUUAGUUUUUGGAUUUUUAACGUCUUUUACUGGUAACUAAUGCUAAGCCUACAUCCACAUCUCAAAUGAUCAUUAAUCUGUAAAAAAUUACACUCUGCAUUUCUGACACUCUUUAAAGGGAUAAUUAUUUAUAUUUCUCUUUGCUCUUUCUUAUCCUUUUGUAUUCAUCAACAUCAUCUGCUUUUGUACAGCUGUGUGUAUGGAGCACUGUUGGGUGGGAAAUGCAGAGGGCUAAAUCCUUGCAGUUACGGGGGCAAUCAAUAUCUCAAUCAGAUACCAGAGUGCAGUUUCAUCAGGAUCAAACUCAUUUCCUUGUUGUGCAUGAGGCACAGAUUGCAGUAUAUGAAACAGCAAAGUUGGAAUGUUUUAAGCAGGUUAGUCCUCUCCCGGACUACAGUUGGUUAUUAAAUGCAGUCAGAUCUCAACAACUAAUACUUUAUAUCUUCUUCUACAGUGGGUUCCGCGUGAAAGUGAUGCCCCAAUUUCUCAUGCCACAUACUCAUGUGAUAGCCAGCUUAUAUAUGCUAGUUUCUUGGAUGCAACUGUGUGCGUAUUCACUGCCGGGAACCUCCAUAUGCAAUGCUGCAUUAUUCCUUUUGCUUAUCUGUCACCCGGUAUCAGGUAUCUUUUGAAGCCAGCUAACUUAUUUAGGGGUCGUUUGGUAGGGUGUGUAAGAAUAAUGUUGUCAUUAGUAAUGCAAGCAUUAGUUAUGCCGAGAUUUUUUAAUAUGCAAUGUUUGGUUUGGUUCUUUAAAAAUAACACGUAUUGCAUUAUUUAAAAAAAAAAAAAUUGUUUACAAAUUACCCUCCAUCAAUAUGGUGGAAAGGACAUGGAAAAUGUUGAGGGACAAUUGUGUCUUUAACCAUUCGAAUGCAUGCAUUAGAACCCCUUGCAUUGCUAAUACCAUGAAUUUCUAUGUAUUGGUAAUACUUAGCAUAAUACCAAGUAGAGUGUAGUAUUAGUUAUACAUAUAUUGGAAGUGUAUCAAAAAAGGUACUAGUAAUACAUAAAACUAAGACAUGCAUUAUUUUUUCUAAUACACUCUACGAAACAACCUCUUACUGCUUUAAUUUUUAAGAUAUUUUGCUAUCCACUAUUGAAGAGAAGAAAACAUCAUUUUUCUUGUAGUUAGACUUUCAUGAGCUAUAAUAGUGAAAUUGGUAUCAGAACAAUAUCCAGUCCUGAAGUCUGAACUGCUACUAAUCACGGAAAGGUGAAAACCCCCCACAAACUUGGCCAUUGGUACAAAGAUAUGAACCAAUGCAUGGCUACAUUUGAACAUAACGUACAUUUAAUGCAUACAAGAGGACUACAAAAUUAACUAUCCUAGACCAUCUUGCUUUAAAAAAUUGACAUGAAUAUUUCAAAAGAAUUUCAUUUUGCAAUCAUGUAUUUGUAAAAUCAUGUUAUUACAAUGAAGUGGGGCAUCUGAUUGCCAGUAUGAACAUUUCUAGCAUCACUGGAGUAUCCCUCGGAAUAUUAUGUUUCAGGUGUUUGAUUUUUGCAACUUCUCUGCAUAUCCUCGUGUGCAUACAAUAAGUAAAUUUAUGUGUCUGAUAUCCUCAAGAAGUAAUGUCAGGAUACGUAGUCAAUUCACCAAACUGAUUUUAUCUCUGAUAUUUGAAGUAAUUUUUCAAUAACGUUGUCAUAUUUUUGCAGCAAUUCAAAUAUCCACCCAGUUGUAGUUGCAGCACAUCCAGAAGAUCCAAACCAAUUUGCAUUAGGUAUGUCAGAUGGUGGUGUUCAUGUUUUCGAACCACUUGAAUCUGAAGGCAAAUGGGGUGUCCCUCCACCACUUGAAAAUGGCUUUGCAGAAGGUGUACCAGCUGCUCCAUCUAUUGCAGCUUCAGGCUUCGAUCAAGCACCAACAUAACAAAGAAACCUCUAAGCAAACAGUCUCGUGUCUUGGUUUUUUUGGAUCUUACCCAAAUUCCAGUCAAACAUGAGAGGUGUAUGUAACGCCACAAAAAAUUGUGUUCUUUGACUUGGUUUUUACACCAAUGUUAUGCUUUUGUGUGUGGCAAUCCAUUUGCUACAGAACAUAGUUUAGCUCAGUACUCUCCAACAAUUUUUCCUUUCAGCUUUCUAAGAGCGAGUCCCUUUGACUUGUGACGUCUCCUCAACCUCAACUUAUUAUGAACAACAAUGUGUGUUGUUUCUUUUAUAUCUGGUGACUGUCAUAAUUGUUUUAAUCAUUUUCCCUUACAAUGGUGCUAAUUCAAUUAUCAGCACAAAAAAAGAGCUUGAUUCUCUGAUUUGGCUCAUAGAGAAUGGGCCAGAAUUUUGUGAGAAAAAGACAACUCACUCUCAUGCCAAAUGUGAUAUUAAGUUAUGAACUGAUGAUACAAAGAAAUUCUCAUCAAUCAUUAAACAAAAAUACCUUCAAAAGACUUAUCACAUAUUUCUCUUUCUAUAUGUAUUCAAAUAUUUUAUUUUAAUAUCACUCUUUAUUUUCAUGUAAAAUCAAUAUUAAUAGUAUUAUUACAUAUAGAAUUUUAUUUGUAAUACAUGCUUGAUAUACAAUUCUUAUAUCUAAAAUAUCACUGUAUAAAUAUAAUUAGUGGCAAAGUUGGAUUAUUGUUACACUAGUAAAACUAUCCGUGCUUCGCGCGGGAAUUUAACUUCAUGGAAUUUAUAAAAUAAUAUUUAAAACUUAUCCGUCAUUAAAACUAAAACAUUAUAUUAUCUUACAUACAAGAUUACGUAGUAACAAACAAUAAUAAUGUAAAGGAAAAUUAAAAUUAUUACAUCUUAUCAUUUAUUCUUUAAUAACAUAAGGCCAAACACAUAUGCAGACCCUUAAACUUGUCCCUAAAUUUCAUUUUGACACUUCAACUCAACUUUGUUUCAUUUUAACCCUUCAACUCCAAUUUUUAUGUUCCUUUUUGGCACUUCUUUCCAAAGAAUCAACAAAGUGGGAUGUGUGUACUUCACAUGCGAUUGUGAUAAAAAAUAAUGGAUGAACAUUGUUUUUUUUUAAAAUAUUUUUUUUUUAGAGUUUCUGUACAUUAUUGUGUGAAAAAAUAAUCGGCAAAAGUGUGUUGAUUUUUUUAAAAAACAAUUAGUUAAUUUAAAUAACAUCACAUAUAUUUUUUUUCAUAUCUAGUCUAUUUGGACUAACUCAAAUAUCAGCUUUCUAAUUUUUCAUUCAACUAAAUACGAGUAAAAAAAAACUCAUGUUCAUUGCUAAUUAAUAACACUACAAAAAAUGUUGAAACUCGAUAGACUUCGUUGGGUUGUCAUUGAUUUUUUUAAGAAAGAAAAUCGACACACUUUCGUUGGUUAUUUUUCACGGGAAAACUUUUAAAAAGAAAUUGUUACUUUUUUUAUAUAAAAAAUCAAUGAUAAUCCGUCAGUUUUAAUUUUUUACAAUAAUUAAUGGAUGAUCAUCGAUUUUAAAAUGCAAAUUGCAGUUGAAUAACAUAAAUAGAAAUAAAGAAAUCAUAAAAUUAGUAUUUUGUGUUAAAUGGUACAUAAAAGAAAUAGAGUUGAAGGGUAAUCUAUUAUUAUUUUAAAAAAAUACUUUUUUGUCUUUCACUCUCUUAGAGAAUGUGUGAUGCACACUCUCUGCCACAUCACUUAGAAGUGCCAAAAUGGAACAUAAAAAUUGGAGUUAAAGGGUUAAAAUGGAACAAGGUUGAGUUGGAGUGUCAAAAUGAAAUUUAGGGACAAGUUUAAGGGUCUGCAUAUGUGUUUGGCCAUAACAUAAUCAUCAUAAAUUAAUAACUGUAAAAAUACAUACCAUGAUAUGUAACAUAAGCAAUGGUGUCAGUGAGCCACUCAACAGGAGCAAAGAACACAAAUAUUUAAUUGUGAAGAAAAAGAAGAACAAGAGGUUCAAAAUUUUCGUUGUUUCAAAAUGAGAGGAAAUCCCUCUAUUUAUAGACAACAAAGGGUAGUGUGAACAAAUGUUUAUUGUGUCAUAUUAGAAAUGUUACAACUAUUUGGAAAAGUUGCAAAGUCGCAACUCUUCAUAAAAGUCGCAACUCUUCAUAAAAGUCGCAACUCUUCAUAAAAGUCGCAACUCUUCAUAAAAGUCGCAACUCUUCAUAAAAGUCGCAACUCUUCAUAAAAGUCGCAACUCUUCAUAAAAGUCGCAACUCUUCAUAAAAGUCGCAACUCUUCAUAAAAGUCGCAACUCUUCAUAAAAGUCGCAAUGUCACAACUUUCCAUGGAAGGGGAAGGUUGGUUUCGGAAAUAAAUAAAUUAAAAGGUAAUUCUGAUUUGUAAUGGCGUCACGUAGGUGAGCCUAAUGUUCUCUUUUUUUUUUUUAUAUAUAUAUAUAUAUAUAUAUAUAUGAUAUAUGAUAUGAUAUGAUAUAUGAUUCUUAAUAUAAAUUUAUGAAAUAAAUAUUCAUCGGAUAAAUUUAUUAUUUUGAAAGUACUUUUUAUAGAAAAAUAUUAGUAUUACAUAUAAUUUAUUAUUAUUUUUUACUACAUAUGCUUGGUAUACGCUUAUAUAUCUGAAAUAUACCAUGUAUCUUUAUGGUAUAAAUAUAAUUUAUAGAAAAUUCAUAUAUCAUUGUUAUAUUUUUUUUUAUAUAAAUUAACUAGAUAAAUAUUCAUGGUAAAAAUUAUUAUGACAAAAACACCUUUUGUUAAAAAAAAUAUUUAUUAAAUAUGAAUAUAUAUUUCUAAUAUAUACAUGGUAUAAAUUCUUUAUAUGUAAAAUAAAUUAUUUUUAUUUAUGAUAUAAAAUAUAGUAAUUUGUAGCAAAGUCUAAUUGGGGUGAAAUAAGAAUAAAGCACAAAAAUACAUCCAUAUUCAUCCAGCAGCAACAAAAAUGAUACAAAAGUGUAGCAUUCAUGAAAUAUUUUCAUAUCUCAACCUUACUGAAGCCGAAGCCUAACCAAAACCAGAACCAGAACCAGAACCGCCGAAGUAGCAUGACGGCGCAACACCAAUUCAGACAAGGAAGCUUUUCCGUUAUAGAGAAGAAGGCUUCAUCUAUGGCAUCACUGACGGAAGAAUCACAUCUACCCAAAUCUUUUAUUUACUUACAAUUCAAAAAAAUCACAAAUCUAGGGUUUCUGGAAACAUAGAUGGGUGUUGUGCAAUUUGAUACAACUAAAAAUCAAUUUGUGGAAGCGGUUGAUGAUUUCUCAAUCAAAUUCUGGGAUAUGGACCAUCUUCGUCUUCCAGUAAGUUUUAUUUUGAGGUUCACUGAGAAAAUUGUGGUGUUGUGUACACUAUAUUAAACUGAUAUUUCCUUUUAUAUCAAUGAAUAAAUUAUUCAAUGCAAUCCCUCUAAUUCGAUUCAUUUCUCUAUUUAGCCUGUUUCUGCUAAUGAAAAUGUGAUAAAGGUUUUGGCAAACAAUGAAGGUAUUAGCUUCCAGGGGAUCUGGAACUAAAUCUUAGGAUUCCAUUUUUUUCUUUACACAAACAUGACCAGGUGUCCUUUGCUAUAAUAUCACGCAGCCUACAGUAAAUCCAAUAUCUGUAGCAUCAGCACACAAAUUCUGGAUUUGCAGAUAGGUGGCCUCUUUUGUUGGCAUCAGUGGAAUGGUUUGUAAAUUUAACUCCCAAAGGUGAGUGUCUAGCCUCCUCCAAAAGGUGUGUGCCUAGCCUCUCGCCUUGCUGCUAGGUGAGGCAGACCCUUGUUGGCUUUUUGUCGCCUUUCGCCAUCCAAAACAUUGAACGUUGGCUAUGGUUGUGAAUAUUUCACGUUUUUGCCUGAUCUUUAUGAACUUGUAGCCUCCUUUUUAUAAUUUCGUACGUAUCAAGAAGUUGUUGAAUUAUAGUAGAAACAAUACAAAAAUUAAAAUAGCAUAUAUCUUCCUUAGAAUGAAUGCUUAAUAGACUGUUGUCAAGUUAAUAUUACACAUAUGCAAGAAGUGUUAGUAAUUUAUGAUAAACAUAUAGUUAAUAAUUACUGAAAUUAAAAAAACAAUAAUUAAUGAUAUCUUUACAGUCUAAAUGGUGUCUGCCUACAAGUAAAUUACAUUUAGAUUUUUUUUUACCUCUUCUCGUAAUCUUAGAAUCAAGAAAACAUGAAGGGAUAUUUGUAGAAAUCCUUUAACUCAAAAUUAUGCAAAAAAAUAGAAAGAAGAAGUAAAUAGCUAAAAAAUGAGAUGCAGUUUUAGUAGUUUCAAAAAAAAAAAGUGAUACAUUUUUAGUAGUAGUCAUGAUUGUGAAUGGACCAUGCAACAAAAUUGCUUGAAGACAUACAAUCUACAAAUGAUGAAGUAACAGCAAGAGGAAACAUUUUUACCAAAUAACAGAAGCAGAAAACCUAAGAGAUAAGAAAGUAACAACAAUUUUUUUUUGUGUAUUUCAUGAUUCCAAGUGAACCAAACAUACCUUCACCACAAAAAGCUUUAUUCUCAGCCCUUUUUUGUUUGUAAUCACUACCCUUAAUAGAAUCGCAUCCGGUGACCAAGAUAGAGAAAAGAGACAACACAAAAUUAAGAGCCAAGCAGGAGGAGAACUCAUAUCCUGAAUGGAAAGAUAAGCACAACACUGUUGGAUCACAUGGUUCAUUUACAAUCAACUUAACACUAGCAGUUUCAUUUGCUGAUAAAUGCCACGGGACUUGAUCAUGUCAUAUUGUGCACAAAGGCGAUGUGAGAAACAUUGAAAUUUCCAACCCUAAAACCUGAAGGAGGACAAGCUAUGGUUUAAUGUGCAUCAGUUGGUAUCUUCAAUGAAGAGUCUGUUAUCUCAUUUUAUACAUGUAUUGUCUCCUAUAUUAUCUCAUUUUUUAUUAUCUACUAUGUUAUCUCACUUUAUACAUGUAUUAUCUGCUAUGUUAUCUCACUUUAUACGUGUAUUUCUGCUAUGUUAUCUCAUUUUACACAUGUAUUAUCUGCUAUCAAUAUGCUCAAUGGAAAGGUUUCCAAGUAUUGAAAAUGAGAUAACACUUACAAUUAGAUAUUUCAUGAAUCAAGAAACUUGGAAUUUUACCUUUAGUAACUCUGAGAUUGAAGCUUCAAGGAUCUGAGCUUCAAGGAUCUGCACUGUGAUGAUUCACUAGUUUCAGUGAGCUUUCAUAUCUUGGAUUUGUCAUUAGGUUUUUCAUUAAUCCGGGUGUUACAUUUAUUGCAUCCAGUCUUACAAAGCCAAUAGAAUGUAAAAUACAUAUUAGUAGAUGAAAUUGAUAUGAAAAUCGGACAAGAUUUCUUUGUGUAUCCUCCACUUUUAAAUAAAAUGAGUGUCUAUUUAUCUAUCUAUCUUAUUCUAUAAGUAGGAAACCUCAAACUUAAAAGUUACGGCAACAACAAACAUAUCCUGUGCAAUCCCAAAAAGAGGGGUCUACGGAGGAUAAAAUGUAUGCAUACCUUACCACUACCUCUAUGGGUAGAGAGGUUGUUUCCGAUAGACUAUUGGUUCAAAAGAAAAGUGGAUUUUGAAACAUGAUUAUAUAAGGAAAUAAGAGAGCAAAAGAGAUACAAAGAAAAUAUUUGACUACAAAUAAGGUAAUGAAAUGAAGUAAUUAUUGUUAAACAAGAAAACCCUAGAAAUUGAAAAGGAAAAAAGAAGUUACAUGAGAUGCCAUUGAUGGAAUUAAUUCAAUAGGCUUAAAGUUCAACAACUUUAGGGUUCCAAAUUGAACUUUAAACCUGUUGAAUUAACUCCAUCAAUGGCGUCUCAUGUAACUUUUUUUUUCUUUUUCAAUUUCUAUGGUUUUUUUGUCCAAUAGUAAUUAUUGUGUUUCAUUUCCUUAUCCGUUAUCAUAUAUUUUCUUUGUUAUUACCGUUUAUUACUAUUUGUUGCUCUAUUUGCUUUGUAUCUCUUUUGCGCCCUUAUUUCCUUAUAAUCGUGCUUCGAAUUCAACUUUUCUUUUGAGCCGAUGAUCUAUCGAUAACAACCUCUCUACCCCCAUAAGUAUAGAGUCAUAGGGGUAAGGUCUGCAUACAUCUUACCCUCCCCAGAUCCCACUUUGUGAAAUUGCACUGGUGUGUUGUUGUUGUUACUAUUUACAGUAUUUAGUUUGAGAGGCUUCCUACUUAUAAAAAAAGAUAGAUAGAUACUCAUUAGGUUUAAAAGUGGAAGACACACUAAGAAGUCUUGCGUGCUUUUCAUGUCAAUAUCAUCUACUAAUAUGUAUUUUUUAUAGACCCCGAAUUAAUGAAGAACUUAAUGACAAAUCCAAGAUAUGGAAGCUCAAAGUAAUUAGUGAUCCGUCACAGUGUCGGUCCUUGAAGCUUCUUGAGAAUCUUGGAGUGACUAAGGUAUAAUCCCCAUGUCUCUUGAUUCAUGAAAUAUCUAAUUGUGUUUGUUAUCUCAUGAAAUAUCCUCCUUCAGGUUUUAAGGUUGGAAACUUUAAUAUUUCUCACAACACCUUUUUGCACAAUCUGAGAUGAUCAAGGUGUGUAACAUCAGAACAUGCCAUCAGCAAAUAAAAUUGUUCGUGUUAAGUUUAGUGGAAAUGAACCAUAUGAUCCAGCAGUGUUGUGCUUCUCUUUUCAUAUGAGUGUGAGUUCUCCUCCUGUUUGGGAGGGAAGGGGUCUUAGUUUCGCGACAUCUCUUUUUUCUAUCUUGAUUCUAUUGAAGUGAAAUUAAAAUUUUAAAAAAGGUGAUCUUUCAGAACGUCAUGGGAAGCUUAAGGCCUCCUAAACGAGGUCUAGCACCUACACAUUAUGUGUUCUAGUCUCUUUUCUUUUCCCUAAUAGGUUUUUCAACUUAUAGUAAAGAAGAGUUGAUGAUCAUUUUCUGCACCUUCAGAGAUCCUUCUGUCUUUAUCCUUAUAGAUUGUCUAGAUCAGAGCAAAAGGCCGCUAAUGUUUGUGCGCAAUGAUUUGACAACUUUAAUGGUGUCCAACUUUGGACUAGCAAUAGUAACUAAACGUCUGCUUGGUAUUUCAAGUUCACAUCUUAAAUGCUUUCUACUGAAUUUUAGCCAUGUUCCUUCCCCUUACCCCACAAUUUGGAAGCUGUUGUAUCUCUGUGACUGCACAACAUGGAUGUGAGGACAUUGUAAUCAGGUAUUGAACAGAAAAUUUCACAGUGAACUCUUACUAGGAAAUAAUGCUUAGCUGGAGAGUUUGUUUAGUUAUCAAUAUUUCUUCCCUGGUUUGUUUCAACUGUGUUAGUUUUGAUGAUUCAGUUUCUGAUUAUGAUUCAAUUUGCUUACUCCAGAUAUCAAGGUUAAUAUAUACAAACUCUGGUGAUGCCAUCUUAGUACUAGCAUUGAAUGCUAUUAACCUGCUUUGGAAGUGGCUAAGAAAUGAGCGCAAUUCAAGGGGCAAGGUAAAUGGACACCAAAAUUGUGGCUUUCCUCCAUUUUGUACGGAAGUGAUUAUGAGGAUUGUGUCAAUCUUUGUUUAGGCAACAACCAGUGUUUCACCAGUACUGUGGCAACCUUCAAGUGGCAUCUUAAUGACAAAUGAUGUGCAAGAACCAAACCAUGAGGAAGCUGUCUCCUGCUUUGCUUUGUCCAAAAUGCUUGCUAUGUGAUAUCAACAUCUGGUGGAAAGAUCUCCUUGUUCAACAUGAUGACGUUCAAGGUAUAACAAGAUUGUCUUCUUUUUAUUUCUACCCUUGACUCAAAGAUCCUGUGCUGAAUUAUUAUCUUAUGGAUGCAGAGAGUGAGAACUUUCAUGCCUCCACCUCCAGCAGCAACUUAUAUUGCCUUCCAUCAUCAAGAUAACAACAUCAUCGCUAUUGGCAUGGAUAAUUCUACCAUCCAGAUAUAUAAUGUCCACUGGAUGAGGUAUGAUAAAGAUAAAGACGAAGUUUUUGUUGUUAUUGGUAGUCAUCUGAUUUCAUGUUUUGGGCCAGUUACCAUAUGUUGUUAUAUAGUAGAUGUCAAUCUCUUGUUGAAGGUUAAAAGCAAGCUUAAAGGGCACUCUAAAAGGAUAACUGGCAUCGCCUUCUCUCAUUUGCUCAAUGUGCUAGUUUCCUUAGGAGCUGAUUCUCAGGUUAAUGACUUAUAUGCUUGGCUAUCAUGUAGUAUUUGACUUACUUCUCAGUGUUUUGUAAAACUAUUCUCACAAUAAUUUGGAAAAUAUGUGUGUGAUAGAUUGCUUUAUUUUCUCCCAAAGAUUGUGCAUAUAGUGCAUCAUACACUCUCCAUCCUAUUCAAUGUUGAGCCAAUCGAAUAGGCAUGGGAAUUAGAAGUAAUUUCGCUGCAUGUCAUAUUUGACGAUGAUAAAGGUAGAUGAAUAAUAAGAUCCUCCCAUGCUCAAAAUAAAGCUGAAUGAAUUCUGGUUGUUUUGAAAAUUUUGAAUUAUCAGAUAUGAAGUUGUUUUGAAAGUGUUUCAAGCAUUUUGGAAGACACCAAAAUCUAAACUAUAUAGCCUACGGAUGAGCUGAGUAUAUUGCAGGUUAUCUCUUUUGCAUAAUCUCUCUGCAGUCAUGAUUAAUUUUUGGAUUUUUAAUGUCUUUUACUGGUAACAAAUGCUAAGCACAUCCACAUCUCAAAUGAUCAUUAAUCUAGAAGAAAAAUUCACUCUGCAUUUCUGACACUCUUUAAAGGGGUUAUUAUUUAUAUUUUUCUUUGCUCUUUCUUAUCCUUUUGUAUUCAUCAACAUCAUCUGCUUUUGUACAGCUGUGUAUGGAGCACUGUUGGGAGGGAAAUGCAGAGGGCUAGAUCCUUGCAGCUAUGGGGGUGAUCGAUAUCUCAAUCAGAUACCAGAGCACAGUUUCAUCAGGAUCAAACUCAUUUUUUGUUGUGCAUGAGGCACAGAUUGCAAUAUAUGAAACAACAAAGUUGAAAUGUUUAAAGCAUGUAAGUCCUCUCCCGGACUACAGUUGGUUAUUAAAUGCCGUCAGAUCUCAAAAACUAAUACAUUAUAUCUAUUUCUACAGUGGGUUCCGCGCUAACCCCAAUUUCUCAUGUGAUAGCCAGCUGAUACAUGCCAGUUUCUUGGAUGCAACUGUGUGCAUAUUCACUGCAGGGCACCUCCAUAUGCGAUGCCGGUAUUAUUCCUUCAGCUUAUUUUUCACCCAGUAUGAGGUAUUUUUUGCUGCCUGCUAACUUGUUUACUGCUUUAAUUUAAGAUAUUCUGCAAUCCACUAUUGAAGACAAAAAACGUCAUUUUUCUUAUUGUUAGAUUUUCGUGACCUAGAAUAGUGAAAUCGGUAUCAGAACAACAUCCAGUCCUGAAGUUUGAACUGCAACUCAUCACGGGAAGGGGGGGAAAACCCUCAAACUUGGCAAUUGGUAAAAAGAUAU
rnacentral:lncRNA from 1 species